GACGAACGCUGGCGGCGUGCUUAACACAUGCAAGUCGAACGGAAAGGCCCUGCUUUUGUGGGGUGCUCGAGUGGCGAACGGGUGAGUAACACGUGAGUAACCUGCCCUUGACUUUGGGAUAACUUCAGGAAACUGGGGCUAAUACCCGAUAGGAGCUCCUGCUGCAUGGUGGGGGUUGGAAAGUUUCGGCGGUUGGGGAUGGACUCGCGGCUUAUCAGCUUGUUGGUGGGGUAGUGGCUUACCAAGGCUUUGACGGGUAGCCGGCCUGAGAGGGUGACCGGCCACAUUGGGACUGAGAUACGGCCCAGACUCCUACGGGAGGCAGUAGUGGGGAAUAUUGCACAAUGGGCGGAAGCCUGAUGCAGCAACGCCGCGUGCGGGAUGACGGCCUUCGGGUUGUAAACCGCUUUCGCCUGUGACGAAGCGUGAGUGACGGUAAUGGGUAAAGAAGCACCGGCUAACUACGUG
rnacentral:rRNA from 1 species